rnacentral:rRNA from 1 species
CUGGUCCUACGGGGCGCAGCAGUGAGGAAUAUUGGUCAAUGGGCGGUAGCCUGAACCAGCCACGUAGCGUGAAGGAUGAAGGUUCUAUGGAUUGUAAACUUCUUUUAUAAAGGAAUAAAGUGAGGCACGUGUGCCUUUUUGUAUGCACUAUAUGAAUAAGGAUCGGCUAACUCCGUGCCAGCAGCCGCGGUAAUACGUAGGAUCCGAGCGUUAUCCGGAUUUAUUGGGUUUAAAGGGAGCGUAGAUGGGUUGUUAAGUCAGUUGUGAGAGUUUGC